rnacentral:tRNA from 1 species
GUCGGGAUAGGUCAGCUGG